rnacentral:rRNA from 1 species
CCUACGGGCAGCAGCAGUGAGGAAUAUUGGUCAAUGGACGAGAGUCUGAACCAGCCAAGUAGCGUGAAGGAUGAAUGCCCUAUGGGUUGUAACCUUCUUUUAUAAAGGCAUAAAGUGAGGCACGUGUGCCUUUUUGUAUGUACUUUAUGAAUAAGGAUCGGCUAACUCCGUGCCAGCAGACGCGGUAAUACGGAGGAUCCGAGCGUUAUCCGGAUUUAUUGGGUUUAAAGUGAGCGUAGAUGGGUUGUUAAGUCAGUUGUGAAAGUUUGCGGCUCAACCGUAAAAUUGCAAUUGAUACUGGCAGCCUGGAGUACAGUUGAGGUAGGCGGAAUUCGUGGUGUAGCGGUGAAAUGCUUAGAUAUCACGAAGAACUCCGAUUGCGAAGGCAGCCUACUAAACUGCCACUGACAUUGAUGCUCGAAAGUGUGGGUAUCAAACAGGAUUAGAUACCCGAGUAGUC